rnacentral:lncRNA from 1 species
AGACCGACUCGGACGUAAUUCCCAAGACCCUCCCCUUCCCCCUUUUUAAAGGAUAGAUGCUACAAUCUGCUCGCAAUCUAGCACAGAAAAAGCAGCGUGCCUUGAAGAAAAGUGAGAAUUUGUGGACAUCGCAAUACCUACAUUCAGAAAUUUAGGCAAGAAACAUUUAACUGUUUUCUAGGAAGCGUAGGCCAAAACGUGUUGGCAGUAGUAUGGAUCAAUCCAGCCACAUUCAGAUCCAAACUCGCUGGAGAUUUCCAAGCCUGAAUGACUCAAACUGGACCAAAAAGUUAGAGCGGUGGAAAAAAUCCACCAGCACUGUCUCUGGAAGGAAAAAAGCAGUGUUACCAUUCCAUCACAACACGAUUCAAAGGAAAAUAUUGACAAAGGAAGAAGUCAAGAGAUUAGAUACAUGGCUAAUGUUGCUUCAGAGCACUUGGGAAGAGCUAUGACCUGUUCUCACCUACUUCUGCUACCUCCUUGCUGGCUUCAGCAGGUGUUGAUACCGGUACCCAAGGGGAAACACAUCUCAGGAGGGUCCAGGCUGAGGGAUGGAGCACUGCUACAGCUUCCCUUCAUCUCUCCCUUUGGACCACGAGACAGAGCCGAUCAAUGAUGACAAACUUCAGCUCUGCUUCUGUGCACGCUCCAGUAGCCUGGGAGGGGUAACUACCAUGUGUCCAUCCACCUACCGAGCGCUCCUGUGCUGGGCUGCUUCUGUUCCCUUAACCUGGCAUUGGAAGUGGAAAACAUCGUGCCAGGCACUGCAGAAAAGGCAAGUGAAAAGGGAAAAGAGUGAAGUUAAAUUGCGUGAACUGACAACAAUGAAAAAUCGGGGUGCUAGAUCACACCUGCAGCCGUUUUGUGCAUCACUCACCUUCAAGUCUUCCCUACACGUAGGCAACCUCUUAUCCGACCCUACAAGCUGCGGGGUACAUCAGGGGAGCGUUCCCAGUUUCCUUUUCUCUCCCUACCACGUUACGCUGCCCACAGCCU